GGGUCGGGGGAGGAGAGAUUAGAGAAGGGGGACUAGAGAGAAGCAGUGGGUACAGAGUAGGGACACGCAGGAUCUGUUCUGCUGUCUAAUCUACUGCUGUGAUAGCACCAGGCUGCUGUUUGCAAGAGCUCAUGGAGAAGGGUCCAUAGAAAGCUGGAGGAAGAGGAGGAAGAUCCUGGUCCCCAGCAGGAUUUCAUUUUUUCCAGUAUGGCCUGGAUUCUAUGAACAGCCUCCUUCCUAGCCUGUCGAACAUUGUCCUGGCCACGAGUCUCUAUGGAAUCCAGUUCCAACAGCUCCUUGGUCAGCAUUUCCUCCAGGAGCCGUUCUUCCUGUCCCAAGUCACAUAAAGAGUGAGUUACUGGAUCCCACUACCUGGGAUAACUCCACUGCACCAGCCACACUUCAUCACCCCUUUGCAGGCCUGAAGAAUUAUGCAAGUGGAUUCUGAGAUGAUACGUACUUGGCUACCAUCACAAUGAUGUCUAGACCCACAUACCUUAGGAGAGAGACUCCCUUUAGCCUGGUGACCCAUGUGCUAAAAGGACCAAAUUAAAAUACAUCCACAGUC